CAAAUACUCCCUCCGUCCGGAAAUACUUGUCAUCAAAAUGGAUAAAAGGAAAUGUAUCUAGACAUAUUUUAGUUUUAGAUACAUCUCUUUUUAUCCAUUUUGAUGACAAGUAUUUUCGGACGAAGGGAGUAAAAA
rnacentral:pre_miRNA from 1 species